CGGGGGAGGCCAGAUCCUGGGCUGUGUCCCGGCGCCCUGUGCUCCCGGGCCUGCGCUGUUGGAUUCUGCUCCCGCCCCGCAGCCCCCU
rfam:Canis lupus familiaris chromosome 24, whole genome shotgun sequence.